GCUCUAGCUCAGUGAACACAGACUACACAUAUCCACGCUAUCCAUAUGAGCAACCAUAUCUAUUUAACCUCCAUCACCCACAUACAGUUCCUGAUCCACAUGCAUAUCCAUCACUUCAAGUUAGGCCCUAUUUCCCACCCAUAUAUGGUGCCUAUAGAUUACCCAACAUGCAAGAUGCUUCCUAUGUGCAGGAUCAAGGAUAUGCGGCAUAUGCUGACUAUGUCGCAUAUGGGGCCUACGGAGGCUAUGGCUAUGGCUCGUAUCAACAGGACGAGUCCGAAUAAUAAACUCCAUGUGGUAUGUAUCGUGUGAACUACUAUGUAUUAUGAACUUUGGCGAUGAUGGUUUGUAAGGACUAUGGUUGUGAUGAUUUGUAUGGACUAUGGUUGUGAUGACUUGUAUGGACUAUGAUUGUGAUGAUUUGUAUGGACUAUUAUUGUGAUGAUCUAUAUGGCCUGUGGAUGUGAAUUUCUAUUUAUAUGGAUAUGAACUUCUAUUC